rnacentral:lncRNA from 1 species
GUUAAGUCAUCUCCUCAAGGCCACCUAGCUAAUGCGUGAUGGAGCUACAAGUCAGACCCAGGUCUGUGUAAUUCCAAAGCUAUGCUCUUUGCACAACACAUGGGCCAUUUCCCAGUAGAUCAGAAUGUGAAAUGACCAUUUUCCUGUUCAUCCUCACUCCUGGGAGGCCACCUUCCCAGGUGUGAGUUGACGAUGAGGCUGUCACCUAGCACUGACUUCAACUGCAGGGAGGUACCUUCCACCAGAGUCUUCCGUUGCCAUCACCGAAGACAGAAAGGGCUGGGAAUACACACAGAGGGAGGCACUCGCUCACCAGAGCGCAGUCUCUGAAGAAUAACUUGUAUUUGGAGGCAAGAGGGGUGAGCUUCCUGUCUCCUGCUCCGUCUAUCAUCCUUCUGCAACAGCCACAGCCUCUGCAAGGCCGCCUCUGCACUGCUCAGGUGCACAACAGUUUGGAGUGGAACCAACUCUGGGCCAAUUAAAUGGCGGACGGGAGCCUUGAUAGAAUUCCGCAGGUUGCAGUGAACACUCUCUAGGACAGAUGCCUGAAGGUGGAAUUGCCAGAGCAAAGGCUCAUGAAAUGGGGUUCCUAGUGGCCCCCUGGCUACCAGCUCAGCUCACCACUGAGGAGGCACCACCAAGAACGUUGCCAGAGGAGGUAAGCAGUAUUUAUUUGUAUAAUGUAAAGACUCUGCUGCAGAAGCACAGUUGCUGCA